UGCAGUCGAACGAUGAGCCCUUCGGGGUGGAUUAGUGGCGAACGGGUGAGUAACACGUGGGCAAUCUGCCCUGCACUCUGGGACAAGCCCUGGAAACGGGGUCUAAUACCGGAUAUGACCAUCUUGGGCAUCCUUGAUGGUGUAAAGCUCCGGCGGUGCAGGAUGAGCCCGCGGCCUAUCAGCUUGUUGGUGAGGUAAUGGCUCACCAAGGCGACGACGGGUAGCCGGCCUGAGAGGGCGACCGGCCACACUGGGACUGAGACACGGCCCAGACUCCUACGGGAGGCAGCAGUGGGGAAUAUUGCACAAUGGGCGAAAGCCUGAUGCAGCGACGCCGCGUGAGGGAUGACGGCCUUCGGGUUGUAAACCUCUUUCAGCAGGGAAGAAGCGAAAGUGACGGUACCUGCAGAAGAAGCGCCGGCUAACUACGUGCCAGCAGCCGCGGUAAUACGUAGGGCGCAAGCGUUGUCCGGAAUUAUUGGGCGUAAAGAGCUCGUAGGCGGCUUGUCACGUCGAUUGUGAAAGCUCGGGGCUUAACCCCGAGUCUGCAGUCGAUACGGGCUAGCUAGAGUGUGGUAGGGGAGAUCGGAAUUCCUGGUGUAGCGGUGAAAUGCGCAGAUAUCAGGAGGAACACCGGUGGCGAAGGCGGAUCUCUGGGCCAUUACUGACGCUGAGGAGCGAAAGCGUGGGGAGCGAACAGGAUUAGAUACCCUGGUAGUCCACGCCGUAAACGGUGGGAACUAGGUGUUGGCGACAUUCCACGUCGUCGGUGCCGCAGCUAACGCAUUAAGUUCCCCGCCUGGGGAGUACGGCCGCAAGGCUAAAACUCAAAGGAAUUUGACGGGGGCCCGCACAAGCGGCGGAGCAUGUGGCUUAAUUCGACGCAACGCGAAGACCUUACCAAGGCUUGACAUACACCGGGAAAGCAUUAGAGAUAGUGCCCCCUUG
rnacentral:rRNA from 1 species